UCCAGAUGUACGGAGGUUUCUGAUACAUCGUGUUGGUGAUGGAACGCAGCCAAAAGUCAAACCAAAGUGGGGUUAGGCUCAUGAUGAGACUAAAUUAAAAGCCCAAAAAUGAGUUGCAUAAAAGCAAACUCAAUAGAACUCAGCUCAUAGACCUCAUGGCUUUAAGAAAAUGAGGUCUAAUUGUGUGUGGACAAGGCUACUUUUCCCUUAGCACAGCACUGUCUUGUUACAAGAAGACCAAAGAAAAAGGUUUUUAUGACAAAAUAUUGAAAAUAGGUCUUCAAACAAAUAUUUGUGUAUGAAAGUUCAAGGCAACACUAUUCACAUUAGCCAGAAGAUGGAAACAACCCAACUGCUCAUCAGCUGAUGGACAGAUAAACAAAAUGUGGAAUACAAUGGAAUAUUAUUUAAU